AUGUACCAAAAGUACAUUGCCGAGUUGGACACGAUUACGCCUGAGCAGGUGGUAUGGCAGCCAUAUGGCACCGAUGACAGACUUGCGUACACCAUGGAGUUUUCCAUCAACCCGAUGUGCUUGCGGGAUAGGGAUCUCUGGCUUAUGCGGUGCCCAUUGAUAUGCAACUGGGCGGUUGAGUUUCAUUUGCCACAUCGCGUGAUUCGUCAGUUUGGUCUGUUCCAGCCUCACCCACCGGAAUGGGUGGAUACGGACAAAGCACUUCAUAGGUUGGACAGGAGAAGGCAGAGGAAGAUAAAGGACUGGGACAAGCAUCAUGCUCCGUAUGUUACCCGCUUCCAGCUUUGUGUGGAGGAAGCUCGUAGCAGUGCCAUGCCCAGCUUCGUGAGCAUAACUCACUUGCUUUUGAUAACUACAUACGAUGGCUUCUUGAAAAUACUCGAGUUGAGAUAUGCCCGCCGGCAUAUAAUGAGGAUAUUCUUGAAGAACUCGUAA
rnacentral:rRNA from 1 species